rnacentral:rRNA from 1 species
CGAUCCAAUCAAGCGUCUUAAAGGGCAUUUGGUGAAUGCCUUGGCGUUGAGAGGCGAUGAAGGACGUGACACGCUGCGAUAAGCCAUGGGGAGCUGCGAGUAAGCUUUGAUCCGUGGAUUUCCGAAUGGGGAAACCCGACCAUUUAGGUCAUCCCGCAAGGGAAGCGAACCCGGGGAACUGAAAUAUCUAAGUACCCGGAGGAAAGGACAUCAACCGAGACUCCGUUAGUAGUGACGAGCGAACGCGGACCAGGCCAGUGGCCUGUUUCGAGAACAACCAGAAGUACCUGGAAAGGUACGCCAUAGUGGGUGAUAGCCCCGUAUGGGUAACGUUUUGAACGGGUCCUUGAGUAGGGCGGGACACGAGAAAUCCUGUCUGAACAUGGGGGGACCACCCUCCAAGCCUAAGUACUCCUCAACGACCGAUAGUGAACCAGUACCGUGAGGGAAAGGUGAAAAGCACCCCGAUGAGGGGAGUGAAAUAGACCUGAAACCGAAUGCCUACAAUCAGUCGGAGCCAUUUUGAGUGGUGACGGCGUACCUUUUGUAUAAUGGGUCAGCGAGUUACUUUGACGUGCAAGCCUAAACCGUUAGGUGUAAAGCGAAGCGAAAGCGAGUCUGAAUAGGGCGAUUUAGUACGUUUGAGUAGACCCGAAACCGGGUGAUCUAGCCAUGGGCAGGUUGAAGAUACGGUAACACGUGUUGGAGGACCGAACCCACUUCUGUUGAAAAAGGAGGGGAUGACCUGUGGCUAGGGGUGAAAGGCCAAUCAAACCCGGAGAUAGCUGGUUCUUUGCGAAAACUAUUUAGGUAGUGCGUUAUGUGAUUACUGCCGGGGGUAGAGCACUGGAUGGGCUAGGGGGGCGCGAGCCUUACCAAACCUAACCAAACUCCGAAUACCGGUAAGUACAGCAUGGCAGACAGACUAUGGGUGCUAAGGUCCAUAGUCGAGAGGGAAACAGCCCAGACCACCAGCUAAGGUCCCCAAGUUAUGGCUAAGUGGGAAAGGAUGUGGGAAGGCCAAGACAGCCAGGAGGUUGGCUUAGAAGCAGCCAUCCUUUAAAGAAAGCGUAACAGCUCACUGGUCUAGUUAAGCCGGCCUGCGCCGAAGAUGUAACGGGGCUAAAGCCAUACACCGAAGCUGUGGGCGUGCAUUGCACGCGGUAGCAAAGCGUUCCGUAAGCCUGUGAAGCAUAACCGUGAGGUUGUGUGGAGGUAUCGGAAGUGAGAAUGCUGACAUGAGUAGCGAUAAAGAGUGUGAGAAACACUCUCGCCGUAAGCCCAAGGGUUCCUGCGCAAGGCUAAUCCGCGCAGGGUGAGUCGGCCCCUAAGACGAGGGCGAAAGCCGUAGUCGAUGGGAACACGGUUAAUAUUCCGUGACCUGAUGGUAGUGACGGAUGGCGUAAGUUGUACAUGCUUAACGGAUUGUUGUGUGCAGCGAAGCUGUCCCAGGAAAUAGCUCCAUCAUUAAGACCGUACCCCAAACCGACACAGGUGGGCAGGUAGAGCAUACCAAGGCGCUUGAGAGAACGAUGUUGAAGGAACUCGGCAAAUUGCCCUCGUAACUUCGGGAGAAGAGGGACCUCCAUGAAGGCAACUUUUUGGAGGUGGCACAGACCAGGGGGUGGCGACUGUUUAUUAAAAACACAGGGCUCUGCGAAGUAGUUAAUACGACGUAUAGGGUCUGACGCCUGCCCGGUGCUGGAAGGUUAAGAGGAGGUGUGAGAGCUCCGAAUUGAAGCCCCAGUAAACGGCGGCCGUAACUAUAACGGUCCUAAGGUA